rnacentral:rRNA from 1 species
AAGCGGUGGAGCAUGUGGUUUAAUUCGAUGCAACGCGAAGAACCUUACCUGGUCUUGACAUCCACAGAACUUUCCAGAGAUGGAUUGGUGCCUUCGGGAACUGUGAGACAGGUGCUGCAUGGCUGUCGUCAGCUCGUGUUGUGAAAUGUUGGGUUAAGUCCCGCAACGAGCGCAACCCUUAUCCUUUGUUGCCAGCGGUUCGGCCGGGAACUCAAAGGAGACUGCCAGUGAUAAACUGGAGGAAGGUGGGGAUGACGUCAAGUCAUCAUGGCCCUUACGACCAGGGCUACACACGUGCUACAAUGGCAUAUACAAAGAGAAGCGACCUCGCGAGAGCAAGCGGACCUCAUAAAGUAUGUCGUAGUCCGGAUUGGAGUCUGCAACUCGACUCCAUGAAGUCGGAAUCGCUAGUAAUCGUAGAUCAGAAUGCUACGGUGAAUACGUUCCCGGGCCUUGUACACACCGCCCGUCACACCAUGGGAGUGGGUUGCAAAAGAAGUAGGUAGCUUAACCUUCGGGAGGGCGCUUACCACUUUGUGAUUCAUGACUGGGGUGAAGUCGUAACAAGGUAACCGUAGGGGAACCUGCGGUUGGAUCACCUCCUUA